rnacentral:rRNA from 1 species
UUAAGCCACCAUAGCGAAGGGGGUACACCCGUUCCCAUUCCGAACACGGAAGUUAAGUCCUUCAGCGCCGAUGGUACUGCACGGGCGACUGUGUGGGAGAGUAGGACGUGGCUUAGU